AUUGAACGCUGGCGGCAGGCCUAACACAUGCAAGUCGAACGAGUGGCGGACGGGUGAGUAAUGUGUGGGAAACUGCCUGAUGGAGGGGGAUAGCUACUGGGAACUGAUGCUAAUACCGCCUACCAUCGGAUGUGCCCAGAUGGGAUUAGAUAGUGGGUGGGGUAAAGGCUCACCUCGGCGACGAUCCCUAGCUGGUCUGAGAGGAUGACCAGCCACACUGGAACUGAGACACGGUCCAGACUCCUACGGGAGGCAGCAGUGGGGAAUAUGGCACAAUGGGCGCAAGCCUGAUGCAGCCAUGCCGCGUGUAUGAAGAAGGUCUUCGGGUUGUAAAGUACUUUCAGCGGGGAGGCGUUACCAGCAGAAGAAGCACCGGCUAACUCCGUGCCAGCAGCCGCGGUAAUUC
rnacentral:rRNA from 1 species